rnacentral:rRNA from 1 species
ACAUGCUGUGAGCUCGAUGAGUAGGGCGGGACACGUGGUAUCCUGUCUGAAUAUGGGGGGACCAUCCUCCAAGGCUAAAUACUCCUGACUGACCGAUAGUGAACCAGUACCGUGAGGGAAAGGCGAAAAGAACCCCGGCGAGGGGAGUGAAAAAGAACCUGAAACCGUGUACGUACAAGCAGUGGGAGCCUCUUAAUGGGGUGACUGCGUACCUUUUGUAUAAUGGGUCAGCGACUUAUAUUCUGUAGCAAGGUUAACCGAAUAGGGGAGCCGAAGGGAAACCGAGUCUUAACUGGGCGUUAAGUUGCAGGGUAUAGACCCGAAACCCGGUGAUCUAGCCAUGGGCAGGUUGAAGGUUGGGUAACACUAACUGGAGGACCGAACCGACUAAUGUUGAAAAAUUAGCGGAUGACUUGUGGCUGGGGGUGAAAGGCCAAUCAAACCGGGAGAUAGCUGGUUCUCCCCGAAAGCUAUUUAGGUAGCGCCUCGUGAAUUCAUCUCCGGGGGUAGAGCACUGUUUCGGCAAGGGGGUCAUCCCGACUUACCAACCCGAUGCAAACUGCGAAUACCGGAGAAUGUUAUCACGGGAGACACACGGCGGGUGCUAACGUCCGUCGUGAAGAGGGAAACAACCCAGACCGCCAGCUAAGGUCCCAAAGUCAUGGUUAAGUGGGAAACGAUGUGGGAAGGCCCAGACAGCCAGGAUGUUGGCUUAGAAGCAGCCAUCAUUUAAAGAAAGCGUAAUAGCUCACUGGUCGAGUCGGCCUGCGCGGAAGAUGUAACGGGGCUAAACCAUGCACCGAAGCUGCGGCAGCGACACUAUGUGUUGUUGGGUAGGGGAGCGUUCUGUAAGCCUGUGAAGGUGGCCUGUGAGGGUUGCUGGAGGUAUCAGAAGUGCGAAUGCUGACAUAAGUAACGAUAAAGCGGGUGAAAAGCCCGCUCGCCGGAAGACCAAGGGUUCCUGUCCAACGUUAAUCGGGGCAGGGUGAGUCGACCCCUAAGGCGAGGCCGAAAGGCGUAGUCGAUGGGAAACAGGUUAAUAUUCCUGUACUUGGUGUUACUGCGAAGGGGGGACGGAGAAGGCUAUGUUGGCCGGGCGACGGUUGUCCCGGUUUAAGCGUGUAGGCUGGUUUUCCAGGCAAAUCCGGAAAAUCAAGGCUGAGGCGUGAUGACGAGGCACUACGGUGCUGAAGUGACAAAUGCCCUGCUUCCAGGAAAAGCCUCUAAGCAUCAGGUAACAUCAAAUCGUACCCCAAACCGACACAGGUGGUCAGGUAGAGAAUACCAAGGCGCUUGAGAGAACUCGGGUGAAGGAACUAGGCAAAAUGGUGCCGUAACUUCGGGAGAAGGCACGCUGAUAUGUAGGUGAAGCGACUUGCUCGUGGAGCUGAAAUCAGUCGAAGAUACCAGCUGGCUGCAACUGUUUAUUAAAAACACAGCACUGUGCAAACACGAAAGUGGACGUAUACGGUGUGACGCCUGCCCGGUGCCGGAAGGUUAAUUGAUGGGGUUAGCGGUAACGCGAAGCUCUUGAUCGAAGCCCCGGUAAACGGCGGCCGUAACUAUAACGGUCCUAAGGUAGCGAAAUUCCUUGUCGGGUAAGUUCCGACCUGCACGAAUGGCGUAAUGAUGGCCAGGCUGUCUCCACCCGAGACUCAGUGAAAUUGAACUCGCUGUGAAGAUGCAGUGUACCCGCGGCAAGACGGAAAGACCCCGUGAACCUUUACUAUAGCUUGACACUGAACAUUGAGCCUUGAUGUGUAGGAUAGGUGGGAGGCUUUGAAGUGUGGACGCCAGUCUGCAUGGAGCCGACCUUGAAAUACCACCCUUUAAUGU